CUGCUUCUGGCCAUAAUAACUUACGCAAUUUUCAUCCAGUCAAGUUCGGGAAAACUUUGUCCAAAAUGUUUUCCGGCAUUCUUAGAAUCAACUUUAUUGGUGCUAACCGUGUUUAAACCACGUUUGAUUAGGUUAAUAGCGCCAACACUUGCCUCACUUACCGAACACGACUACUUUGUGAAUAUUCCUAGCAAUAUACAGUAUUGGAGUCAUACGCCUAGACAAAAGUAUCUCUGAAGAAAACUUUUGUGAAGGUCAUAAAUGUUGAGAGGUAUUUGCACAAUAUUCACAGAUUAAGCUACACGACGUAACGCAUAUAGUAUUACUUGUUUAACCAGCGUAGGCUACUCAUAUAGUUAGAUUAUAACGACAUUUGGCAUAUUUUCACAAGGUAGUGCAUCACAUUCUGUUUAUGACAUUUUAUGAUUACAGUCCGUUCAAGCAUUUUAACACACAUAUAUAUAAUGAUCAAUAAUAAAUUUUUUUCAACAUAGGAUGAUACAGAAACAUAUUGCGGAAAAUCAUACACAUUAUCAUAAAGAUCAAGAAGAUGAUACUUUUGAUUGUACAGAAGAACCACCAGUUCUUACACAUAGGCUUGAAUAAUAAACACUAUUGUUUUUUAUAUUAAAAAUAAGAAAAAUUGUUUUAAUUAAGUUAGUUAUUAUUUUAUUCUAUGUAGCUUUUAAUUAAAAAAUGCUUAGUAUACAAAUAAAUUUAUCUUAAUUGAUCCAAUGAUGAAACUGCAAAUAAUUUUUAUGACAGGAUUUGAAAAAACAAUUUUUUUAGUUACAAACAGUUUUUAAUUGAUUUUUAUGUUCAUUUUGUUUCAAUAAAAAUAAAUGUCUGUUUUUGAAAUGUUUAAAAAAAAUAUAUAAUAUUUUAUUUUAAUUAAUUUAAUUUAUGUUGAAUGGAAAUAUAUAAUAAAGAAUUUAAAUACUAUUGA